GUCAGAGGAAGAUGUGACCACAGAAGAAUGGUCAGAGAGAUGUAAUGCUGCUAGCUUUGAAGAUGGAGGAAGGGGGCCACAAGCCAAGGCGGGGACAUGAAUCCACCUGGAGCGGUCUUCAUGGUCAACUGGGAUCUUUAUUCGUUCCUAAAAUAAAUCUUACUAUCACAUGCAA